CUGACUGCUAUGGACAGAAUGUUAUAAUGAAAUGGUUCGACUUGAUCAGCAACAUUGGGUCAACUUGUGGAUUUGUAACUGGAUUUAGCUUCGUAUCGGUGAUAGAGUUUAUUUAUUUUUAUACAGUUAAAUUAUUUCGUGAGAUCGAGAGUCGACGUCGUCAAGGGAAACGCAUCGCCAGCGAAUCGUCUACCACAACCCACUUUGAACCUACCAAAC
rnacentral:misc_RNA from 1 species